AUGUUAGCGGCGGACGGGUGAGUAACACGUGGGUAACCUGCCUGUAAGACUGGGAUAACUCCGGGAAACCGGGGCUAAUACCGGAUGGUUGUUUGAACCGCAUGGUUCAAACAUAAAAGGUGGCUUCGGCUACCACUUACAGAUGGACCCGCGGCGCAUUAGCUAGUUGGUGAGGUAACGGCUCACCAAGGCAACGAUGCGUAGCCGACCUGAGAGGGUGAUCGGCCACACUGGGACUGAGACACGGCCCAGACUCCUACGGGAGGCAGCAGUAGGGAAUCUUCCGCAAUGGACGAAAGUCUGACGGAGCAACGCCGCGUGAGUGAUGAAGGUUUUCGGAUCGUAAAGCUCUGUUGUUAGGGAAGAACAAGUACCGUUCGAAUAGGGCGGUACCUUGACGGUACCUAACCAGAAAGCCACGGCUAACUACGUGCCAGCAGCCGCGGUAAUACGUAGGUGGCAAGCGUUGUCCGGAAUUAUUGGGCGUAAAGGGCUCGCAGGCGGUUUCUUAAGUCUGAUGUGAAAGCCCCCGGCUCAACCGGGGAGGGUCAUUGGAAACUGGGGAACUUGAGUGCAGAAGAGGAGAGUGGAAUUCCACGUGUAGCGGUGAAAUGCGUAGAGAUGUGGAGGAACACCAGUGGCGAAGGCGACUCUCUGGUCUGUAACUGACGCUGAGGAGCGAAAGCGUGGGGAGCGAACAGGAUUAGAUACCCUGGUAGUCCACGCCGUAAACGAUGAGUGCUAAGUG
rnacentral:rRNA from 1 species